GGAAGAUGGGCAUGGAUGUUAGCUCAGGGCCAGUCUUCCUCAGCAAAAAGAGGAGGAUUGGCAGCAGUUAGCUCAGGGCUAAUCUUCCUUAAAAACGUCACAAUGUCACAUACCAAAAAUAGUGAAAAGUAGAAGAAUUCUGAAAUGACAACUAGAGCAUUUGUCUGACUUCACAAAACAAAGAACUGUUCCCCAUGUUUGUUUAAUUGAAUUAACUGAGCUCUGAAUUCUAAAAGACUCUUACAACAUUCUGUCAAAGCAGGAUUUGGACAAAACCACUCAAUGGCACUCUGUUCAAGACAGAAUUGUUGCAUCCAGAUAAAUACCGAGGAAUGUGAAUCCUGGGUCACACGGUGCAAUAGACUCUAUCAGCCUCCUAGACUAUGAACAUUUCCAUAUUUCUCAAAACUGUGUCAUCUACUCAUGGGAAGAACUUGGGUUGCACAUUCCCCUCCAGCAGAUCUGGGCUCUGGCCCAACUCACCCUUCAGAAACUCAAGAGAGUGCCACUGCUCCCAAGUUUCAGCCAAGAAUGCCAACCAGCCACUGUGGAAGAGACCUGAGACUUUCCAGAAAAUUUUUCUGUGUCCAGGCCAACUCAAUAAAAUUUGUUAAUUGAAGUAUUAUUUGUUAAUUUUUAACUGAAGUAUAAUUUGUAUAAAGAAUUUAUAUACAGUCAUGUGCCAUAUAAUGAGGUUUUGGUCAACAAAGGACCACAUAUAUGAUGGUGGUCCCAUAACAUCAGUACCACAUAGCCUAGGUUUCUGGUAGGUUAUACUAUCUGGGUUUGUGUAGCUACACUCUAUGAUGUUUGUACAAUGACAAAAUCGCCUACCAACACAUUUCUCAGAAUGUAUCCCUGUUGUUAAGCAACAAAUGACUGUAUUAAGUUUGACUUAGACAAAUCCACCUUUUUUUUUUUUUUACAUAGAAAAUAUGGACUUUAAAUAGCUAUUCCUUCUUCACAGGAAAAAAGAAAAGGGAUAGAUGAGCUACUUUAAUACUGUGCCUGGCACAAAGCAACCUCAAUAAAUGUUUUUUCAUCUUCUUAAUGGACUAUUUACUCCAUACCACAAGGAGUCUGAAAUGACUUGUCCAAUUUCUUUAUAACCUAAACAAGCACUCGUGUGUGCGUGUCUGUGUGUGUGUUUGUGUGUGGUGUCUGCGGGGAAGGGGGUGUGUUCACCUUGCCAUUUUUAUGUCUGCUUAUUCUAAGACCUGUUAGAGGGGAGUAAACAAGUAAUGUGGGUACCUAGGAAAGAUUCAAGCCAUAGUAUUUACAAACAGUAGACAUGAGGCUCUCAUGGUUGAGCAGUAAAUGGGGUAUGCUACAGAUAGUGAGAGCAUGGAGAUAGAGAAUUUCAGGGGACCUCCUGUACUUUGUAGAUUUGUCCAUGGGAAAUCAUAUCCUUACAGAAAGACUAGGGGACAAUCAGGUGAAUAACAGCAAUUAAAUAUCAAGCCAAAGAAGACCUUCAGGGCUACUAACCAUGAAAAUAAAAGGGUCUUUGGUUUGGAAAUUCUGGUAUAAGAGGUCCAAUACAGAGGGGUUAGGGUAACAAUCCACAAGUCCUGCAGCAAUCAGCCGUGGAACUCUGAGCCCUGUGCCAGAUCAGCAGCCAGGGUGACAGAGCAUAUGAAGGGUGAAAGUGAUCCAGUAUUAAUCUCUCACAAGAACAGGAACUACACUUGCUUAAGGAGUUCUAGCCUCAAGUCUGAAAUGGUCAUGAAAAAGAAGAGAUAAGUCUGUAGUUGAAAGCUUUCGGGCCAAAUGGCAAGGUAGGUCUGGGAAGGCAGAAGAAUGAAAAGAGGAAUGGGCCCAACUAUAUGGCCAUUUAAAAACAGUUUCUCAAGAAGAACAAAGUUUGAGGACUUAAACUAUAAGAUAUUAAAGCUGGUUUAAAGCUACAUGGUCAUGUGAUAACAAAGAUACCACUGCAGUGUGGUGGGGAAAGGACAGUCUUUUCAACAAAUGGUGCUAGGUCAACUGGAUAUCCACACGGGGAAAAGUCUUUGAUUCUACCUAAUAUCUUAGACAAAAUCAACUGCAGAUAGAUUGUAGACCUAAAUGUGAAAAGUAAAACAACUAACCUUCUAGAAGAUAACGUAAGAGAUUAUUUUCAAGACUUUAGGAAAGGCAAAAUGUUUUAAAUAAGACACAGAAAGCAGUAAUCAUAAAAGAAAAAAUUGAUAAAUUGGACUUCAUUA